rnacentral:rRNA from 1 species
AGAUCGUUGAAGGCUGUAGGUAUAGGACCGGUAGGCAAAUCCGCCGGUCUUGCUAAAGGCUGAUAGUACCGCAAACCUUCGGGGGCGUGGAUAGUGCAGGUAAUCAGACUUCCAAGAAAAACCGCUAAGCUUCAGGUUAUAAAAACCCGUACCGCAAACCGACACAGGUAUCCGGGAAGAGAAUUCUAAGGCGCUCGAGUGAAUCAUGGCUAAGGAACUCGGCAAAAUGGCCCUGUAACUUCGGGAGAAGGGGCGCUGGUAGCAAUAUCAGCCGCAGUGAAAAGGCCCAGGCGACUGUUUAACAAAAACACAUGGCUUUGCAAAAUCGAAAGAUGAAGUAUAAGGCCUGACACCUGCCCGGUGCUGAAAGGUUAAGAGGGGAUGUCAGGGUUAAACCGAAGCAUUGAAUUGAAGCCCCAGUAAACGGCGGCCGUAACGAUAACGGUCCUAAGGUAGCGAAAUUCCUUGUCGGGUAAGUUCCGACCUGCACGAAUGGUGUAACGAUCUGGGCGCUGUCUCAGCCAUGAGCUCGGUGAAAUUGUGGUCCCGGUGAAGACGCCGGGUACCCGCAACGGGACGGAAAGACCCCAUGCACCUUCACUACAAUUUAACAUUGACAUUGGAUACAGGAUGUGUAGGAUAGGUGGGAGACUAUGAAGCGGUGUCGCCAGGCAUCGUGGAGUCAACGUUGAAAUACCACCCUUUCUGUAUUCGGUGUCUAACCCCGCUAGUCGGGGGACAUUGUUUGAUGGGUAGUUUGACUGGGGUGGUCGCCUCCAAAAAGGUAACGGAGGCUUUCAAAGGUAAGCUCAAUACGCUUGGUAACCGUAUGAGGAGUGCAAUAGCAUAAGCUUGCUUGACUGUGAGGCAUACAAGCCGAGCAGGGUCGAAAGACGGAUAUAGUGAUCCGGUGGUUCUGCAUGGAAGGGCCAUCGCUCAAAGGAUAAAAGGUACGCUGGGAUAACAGGCUGAUCUCCCCCAAGAGCUCAUAUCGACGGGGAGGUUUGGCACCUCGAUGUCGGCUCGUCACAUCCUGGGGCUGGAGAAGGUCCCAAGGGUUCGGCUUUCGCCGAUUAAAGUGGCACGCGAGCUGGGUUCAGAACGUCGCGAGACAGUUCGGUCCCUAUCUGUUGUGGGCGUAGGAAUUUUGAGUGGGGCUGACCUUAGUACGAGAGGACCGGGUUGGACUAGCCUCUAGUGAAUCUGUUGUUCCGCCAGGGGCAUUGCAGAGUAGCUACGCUCGGAAUAGAUAAGCGCUGAAAGCAUCUAAGUGCGAAACUAGCCACGAGAUGAGAAUUCCAUAUAGGACCGUAGUAGACUACUACGUUGAUAGGUUAUAGAUGUAAAGGUGGUGACAUCAAAGUCGAGUAAUACUAAUCAUCU